UACGUAGGCAGCAAGCGUUGUUCGGAAUUACUGGGCGUAAAGAGUGUGUAGGCGGUGCUCCAAGUCUAGUGUGAAAUCUCCCGGCUCAACUGGGAGGGUGCGCUAGAAACUGGAAUGCUAGAGGAUGGGAGAGGUAAGCGGGAUUCCUGGUGUAGCGGUGAAAUGCGUAGAUAUCAGGAGGAACACCUGUGGUGUAGACAGCUUACUGGACCAUUUCUGACGCUGAGACACGAAAGCGUGGGUAGCAAACAGG
rnacentral:rRNA from 1 species